AUGAAAAAUCAAAAACAAAUCAAUACAAAAAAUACUUGACUUCUUGCGGUUGUUUCCGGGGAAUUGCUGGUUUGUUUGUUUUUCUCCUCUUUUUUUCUCU
rnacentral:ribozyme from 13 species